rnacentral:rRNA from 1 species
CGUACUCAGUUCGGAUUGCAGGCUGCAACCCGCCUGCAUGAAGCCGGAAUCGCUAGUAAUCGCAGAUCAGCAUGCUGCGGUGAAUACGUUCCCGGGUCUUGUACACACCGCCCGUCACACCAUGGGAGUCGAUAACGCCCGAAGUCAGUGACCCAACCGAAAGGAGGGAGCUGCCGAAGGCGGGAUUGAUAACUGGGGUGAAGUCGUAACAAGGUAAC